GCGCAGCAGGCGAGAAUACUUUACAAUGUGCGAAAGCACGAUAAGGGAACUCUGAGUGCCUCCUAAGGAGGCUGUUCAGGUGUCUAAAAAGCACCUGAAGGAAGGGCUGGGUAAGACCGGUGCCAGCCGCCGCGGUAACACCGGCAGCCCAAGUGGUAGCCACGUUUAUUGGGUCUAAAGCGUCCGUAGCCGGCUGGGUAAGUUCCUUGGGAAAUUUGGCUGCUUAACAGUCAAGCUUUCAGGGAAUACUGCCCGGCUUGGGGACCGGGAGAGGUCAGAGGUACUCCGAGGGGUAGGGGUGAAAUCCAUUAAUCCGUUGGGGGACCACCGGUAGCGAAGGCGUCUGACCAGACCGGGUCCGACGGUGAGGGACGAAGGCUAGGGGGCG
rnacentral:rRNA from 1 species